GGAUGAGCCCGCGGCCUAUCAGCUUGUUGGUGAGGUAAUGGCUCACCAAGGCUUCGACGGGUAGCCGGCCUGAGAGGGUGACCGGCCACACUGGGACUGAGACACGGCCCAGACUCCUACGGGAGGCAGCAGUGGGGAAUAUUGGACAAUGGGCGGAAGCCUGAUCCAGCAACGCCGCGUGAGGGAUGACGGCCUUCGGGUUGUAAACCUCUUUCAGCACAGACGAAGCGAAAGUGACGGUAUGUGCAGAAGAAGGACCGGCCAACUACGUGACAGCAGCCGCGGCCG
rnacentral:rRNA from 1 species